CCGCCGGCGACCGGCGCACGGGUAGAGUAACACGUAUGCAACCUGGCCGUGACAGAUGGAUAACCGGGAGAAAUCCCGCCUAAUACAACAUAAUGCCGGGAGGGGACAUCCCCUGCCGGCCAAAGGGGGCGACCCCGGUCACGGAUGGGCAUGCGGCGCAUUAGGUAGUUGGUGGGGCAACGGCCCACCAAGCCGACGAUGCGUAGGGGUUCUGAGAGGAAGGUCCCCCACAUUGGAACUGAGACACGGUCCAAACUCCUACGGAAGGCAGCAG
rnacentral:rRNA from 1 species